rnacentral:rRNA from 1 species
GACGAACGCUGGCGGCGUGCUUAACACAUGCAAGUCGAACGAUGAAGCUAGAGCUUGCUCUGGUGGAUUAGUGGCGAACGGGUGAGUAACACGUGAGUAACCUGCCCCGAACUCUGGGAUAACUGCUGGAAACGGUGGCUAAUACUGGAUACGACCAACGAAGGCAUCUUCUGUUGGUGGAAAGAAUUUCGGUUCGGGAUGGACUCGCGGCCUAUCAGCUUGUUGGUGAGGUAACGGCUCACCAAGGCGACGACGGGUAGCCGGCCUGAGAGGGUGAUCGGCCACACUGGGACUGAGACACGGCCCAGACUCCUACGGGAGGCAGCAGUGGGGAAUAUUGCACAAUGGGCGCAAGCCUGAUGCAGCAACGCCGCGUGAGGGACGACGGCCUUCGGGUUGUAAAGCUCUUUCGUCCGGGACGAUAAUGACGGUACCGGAAGAAGAAGCCCCGGCUAACUUCGUGCCAGCAGCCGCCGUAA